GUGCUUUUAGGUACUUCAAGCACCGGUCACCGUUCUCGUCGAACCCGUCGCUUGCGACGAAGGGCUCGACGAGUAAAUUAACUCUCAGACACAGCCCACUGAGUUUCUCGCCGGAUCUUCUCAGUGGGUCGCGUUUCCGAUCCGGUGGUAGAUUCUGCGAAGCACGACUCUUGCUAGGGUUCGUGUUAGCAACAUCGUCAGGUUUGAGCCCCGUGAGCUCACCUACUAAAGUUAGGGUUACGCUGAAAUAGCCGCUAGGGCUAUCAGCUUAGGUAGGAAAAAAAAAAAAAAAAAAUAAAUAAAUAGGCCUACUAAUAGUACCUACUCGUGAAAACUGCAGAAAAUAAAAUAGAUAGGUAGUGUUCAUACUUUUUUGUUUUGCUUCGCCGAUCUUGCAUUCCGUAGAUUAUAUACACUAAUUUAUAACAUUACAUUCUCUUUGAUUGUUUUCGACUAUUUAUUUGCAGUGUCAGUAAUGACAUUUAGGGUAGGUACCAAUUUUUCAAUUUUCUUAUUUUUUUCAUUAAAUUUUAUUUGAAAAUGCCUAAGUAUUAUCGGUUCAGAGCCACGUCCCCUACGAGGAGACCGAAGAGGUGCCGAGAUAAGGAAAGAGAAAGAGAAGCAGAAAAAUUUAAUGUGAAUACGGAGUUGAACAACUGGCUCGAUGUAACCUUGGCUUGUCAGCCGGCACCAAACUGGUACAUGAGACGGACAGCUUGGCGCGAGAGUCCGCCCCUGAUGGGCGUUCCAAGACAACUAGCAGCCGGACUGAGAGCUUCAGUGCAGCUGACUAAUAGACCGAUAUUCAUUUUCAAAAUCCCUUCAGUGCGAUCUCAGGAUUGGCUAAGUCUUUUGUAAUGUUCGAUUUUGGUAUUAAUCACAGAAUUGUUUAUGUGUUUUAUUUUCAGUUUUUUUUAUAAGAUCAUUUAAAUUUAUUAUAUACAGCGCUAUGUUCAGGCUUUGGUUUUCAUUAAAAUAAUGUAAAAGCAAAA